rnacentral:rRNA from 1 species
UACGUAGGUGGCAAGCGUUGUCCGGAUUUACUGGGUUUAAAGGGUGCGUAGGUGGGUAGGUAAGUCAGUGGUGAAAUCUUCGAGCUUAACUCGGAAACUGCCAUUGAUACUAUUUAUCUUGAAUACUCUGGAGGUAAGCGGAAUAUGUCAUGUAGCGGUGAAAUGCUUAGAUAUGACAUAGAACACCAAUUGCGAAGGCAGCUUACUACAUAGUUAUUGACACUGAGGCACGAAAGCGUGGGGAUCAAACAGG